rnacentral:lncRNA from 1 species
CAUAGUUGUAGAUUUAGUUAUGGACGGUAGGAAUAUUUAAUGCAGAGCCUGGAGAUGUUGAUUUACAGCCUACAGUAGUUUUUAUUACAGUCUAAUUCGGCUUGGCCAGCGCUACUCCAGAAGUCACCUUUAGAUGUCGCCAAAAUAAUUACUCAACCAACACAUUAUAUUUUAAAGUUAGAAUAAAUUCUCUCUCAUUAAACCUGUUACAAUCGGUUUUAUAUAGUUAUUUUAGGUGUUAGAACUGAAGUUGAACAUAAAGCGUCACCUAUAAUUUCAUAACACAAAGCAUUCUAAUCAGAGAGGACAGAACUUCGCUGCUGUCUUGCAAAUUCAUCUGUGAGCAGUAAAGUUACCGGGAAUGAGAGCAGGUUUGCAUAUGACCGCCGCUCAUACACACUCAGAUACACCCAGUGUGUUCCCUGAGCAGGGAAUAAGUGCUGUUUCUACCAACUGCGCGUUUAAUUAGCACAUUCCUCCUGCACUUGAAGUCGAUGUGCGCCGCUGGGCACGACAACACUCACUAAAGUGCUUGACUUCACCCCUGUCAGAGGAAGACACGAUGGGAUGCGCUUCUAGCACUCAGACCACAGCUCAAGACACAACACGACCGAACACCAAACAAGAUGGGAGCACAUCAGGAACAAAUAAUGAAAACGGUGGUCCUGCAGCAGACAGCAAGACAGUUCCAGACCAAACCCAGGCCGCGGAAUCUCCACAGACAUCCAGUGGAGCUCCUGUUGCCUCUGAGGAAAUACAGAGCUCUGCGGCUGCUGUAGCUCACAGUGAACCAGAAGCAGCUGCUGCUGAGGCCAUUACAUCUGACCAGCCUGCUGAACCAGAAUCAAACCCCUCCACAACAGCUGACAGUACCGAAGAACCAGCACCAAGCGAAAACACAACUGAGGCCCAGGCUGAAUCUUCCCCACCAGAGGAAGCACCUGCCUCUGGUGAAGACAGUUAA